rnacentral:misc_RNA from 1 species
AUGGUCUCCCACCUCCCUGCUAGCGCCUGGGGAUCAUCCACCCCCGCCAAUAUCGAAACGACCCAGUUUCUGCCGAUCCACACCCACCACCACGACCCCGUUUCUGGGGACAUCUCAAGAGACGGUACUGAACUCCUCAUCAAAUCCAAGUCCAACAUCUUUUACUGGAAAAUCGAAAACGGCGACGUCUUGACGUCUCUCACAAAACCCCCUGUGGAAGUACCCUACCAUCCCACUGGUCUUGGAGAAGCCAUCUGCUGGAGUGCUGACGGUCAGAGCUACUACACCUUACCCGAGGGACACCACCCCGCUCUCUAUGUGUACUCUAGACUCGGAGGGGGUCACGGAUCAUCCAGCGUGAUUGGAAAAUAAACUGUAGUAUUCACAUUGAACCGGUAGAUAAACAAUCUUUGGCAAUCGGUACGAUUUUAUACACGGACAAUGGACACGUAUUAUAAACCCAUUUUAGUGUUUAUUUUUACCAUUACUCUAAAAUCUAAUAAAAAUUGUGAAUUC